rnacentral:rRNA from 1 species
UGUGAACAUACCUAUUGUUGCUUCGGCGGACCACCCCAACCCCCUCGGGGCGAGGGGCCGCCAGAGGACCCAAAACCCAACUGUUUUUUCCGUAACGAAACCUAUUCUGAGUGGAAUUAUUAAAUAAAUCAAAACUUUCAACAACGGAUCUCUUGGCUCUGGCAUCGAUGAAGAACGCAGCGAAAUGCGAUAAGUAAUGUGAAUUGCAGAAUUCAGUGAACCAUCGAAUCUUUGAACGCACAUUGCGCCCGCCAGUACUCUGGCGGGCAUGCCUGUUCGAGCGUCAUUUCAACCCUCAAGCCCCCGGGCUUGGUGUUGGGGAUCGGCACAAGGCGGAGGCUCCCCCGGGAGCCCCCCCGCCCGCCGUCCCCCAAAUGCAGUGGCGGUCACGUCGCGGCCCCCCGUGCGUAGUAGCAACACCUCGCACCGGAGCCCGUCGUGCCCACGCCGUAAAACCCCCGACUUUUACAAGGUUGACCUCGAAUCAGGUAGGACUACCGGCUGAACUUAAGCAUAUCAAUAAGCGGAGGAAAAGAAACCAACAGGGAUUGCCCCAGUAACGGCGAGUGAAGCGGCAACAGCUCAAAUUUGAAAUCUGGCCCUCGGGUCCGAGUUGUAAUUUGUAGAGGAUGCUUUUGGCAAGGUGCCUUCCGAGUUCCCUGGAACGGGACGCCAUAGAGGGUGAGAGCCCCGUCUGGUCGGACACCGCGCCUCUGUAAAGCUCCUUCGACGAGUCGAGUAGUUUGGGAAUGCUGCUCUAAAUGGGAGGUAUAUGUCUUCUAAAGCUAAAUACCGGCCAGAGACCGAUAGCGCACAAGUAGAGUGAUCGAAAGAUGAAAAGCACUUUGAAAAGAGAGUUAAAAAGCACGUGAAAUUGUUGAAAGGGAAGCGAUUAUGACCAGACUUGGGCCUGUUUGAUCAGCUUGGGUUCUCCCGGGUGCACUCUCUCAGGCUCAGGCCAGCAUCAGUUCGUCGCGGGGGACAAAGGUCGCGGGAAUGUAGCUCCCCUCGGGGAGUGUUAUAGCUCGCUUCGUAAUACCCUGCCUCGGACUGAGGUUCGCGCAUCUUGCAAGGAUGCUGGCGUAAUGGUCAUCAUCGACCCGUCUUGAAACACGGACCAAGGAGUCGUCUUCGUAUGCGAGUGUUCGGGUGUUAAACCCCUACGCGGAAUGAAAGUGAACGCAGGUGAGAGCUUCGGCGCAUCAUCGACCGAUCCUGAUGUUCUCGGAUGGAUUUGAGUAAGAGCAUACGGAGCCGGACCCGAAAGAAGGUGAACUAUGCCUGUAUAGGGUGAAGUCAGAGGAAACUCUGAUGGAGGCUCGCAGCGGUUCUGACGUGCAAAUCGAUCGUCAAAUAUGGGCAUGGGGGCG